rnacentral:rRNA from 1 species
AUUGAACGCUGGCGGCAGGCCUAACACAUGCAAGUCGAGCGAGCGGCGGACGGGUGAGUAAUGUAUGGGGACCUGCCAGAUAGAGGGGGAUAACUACUGGAAAAGGUGGCUAAUACCGCAUAAUAUCCGAUGUACCCAGAUGGGAUUAGCUAGUCGGUUGGGUAAAGGCUAACCAAGGAGACGAUCCCUAGCUGGUCUGAGAGGAUGAUCAGCUACACUGGAACCGAGACACGGCCCAGACUCCUACGGGAGGCAGCAGGGGGGAAUAUUGCACAAGGGUCGAAAGCCUGAUGCAGCCAGGCCGCGGGUAUGAAGAAGGCCUUAGGGUUGUAAAGUACUUUCAGCGGGGAGGCGUUACCCGCAGAAGAAGCACCGGCUAACUCCGUGCCAGCAGCCGCGGUAAUAC